rnacentral:rRNA from 1 species
CAUGUAGGCGGUUUUUUAAGUCCGGAGUGAAAAUGCGGGGCUCGACCCCGUAUGGCUCUGGAUACUGGAAGACUUGAGUGCAGGAGAGGAAAGGGGAAUUCCCAGUGUAGCGGUGAAAUGCGUAGAUAUUGGGAGGAACACCAGUGGCGAAGGCGCCUUUCUGGACUGUGUCUGACGCUGAGGCUCGAAAGCAUGGGUAGCGAACA